rnacentral:rRNA from 1 species
ACGGAAGGCAGCAGUGGGGGAUAUUGCACAAUGGGGGAAACCCUGAUGCAGUGACGCCGCGUGAGUGAAGAAGUAUUUCGGUAUGUAAAGCUCUAUCAGCAGGAAAGAUAAUGACGGUACCUGACUAAGAAGCACCGGCUAAAUACGUGCCAGCAGCCGCGGUAAUACGUAUGGUGCAAGCGUUAUCCGGAUUUACUGGGUGUAAAGGGGGCGCAGACGGCAUGGCAAGCCAGAUGUGAAAGGCAGGGGCUCAACCCCUGGAGUGCAUUUGGAACUGUCAAGCUAGAGUAUCGGAGAGGUAAGUGGAAUUCCUAGUGUAGCGGUGAAAUGCGUAGAUAUUAGGAGGAACACCAGUGGCGAAGGCGGCUUACUGGACGAUAACUGACGUUGAGGCUCGAAAGCGUGGGGAGCAAACAGGAUUAGAUACCCUGGUA